GGAAAAUAUUUCGUGGAAAAUAAUCGAAAGAAGAUAUCGAAAGGUGAAACAGUAUCGUAACCGAUUCCCCACGCGUUCGAUCUAUAGGUACACACCGUAUCGACAACAACCGAUCAACAGAGAACUUUUAAAGCGAUUUAUAAAUUGGUGGAUACACAAGAACCAACAACCAACCACGAAACUGAAACGGAUUAACCACUAUUUACGAGUGGUAUCUUCCACACUGUUCAUUGACAUGCUUUCUGUAAACAUCGAGUAGCAUUUUUAACAUUAUUCUUUUUAAUCCUACAAUUUUUUCCGAGAUUCCUGGAACAUUAUGUGCAGGAAAGAAGUAAUAUACAGAUAAAAUAAGAAUAAAUGAUGAAAUGAAAAUAUAGAUAGAAAAACAAUUGAAUCAGUUUGUUGGAUACCUUAUAUUAUAUGAGUUCUAAAUAAUAACGAACUGGCUAACGAAGCAAACAGACACUGGCACUCAAUACAAAGAAAAAUUAUUUAAAGCAAAUAUAAUUAUUUUGUAUCUGCAUACAUAAAUUAAAAAUUUUAGUAUGGUUACGUAUAAUUACGUUACGCUUCUACGUCUCCUAAUGGGAUGAAGCUAAGUACAAUGAAACGAUGAAGCAACUAAAUAAAACUUGAACCAAUGUAAAAUAUUGUUGAAAAAAUAUCUCAAUCGAUUCUGAUAUCCAAUUGGCUUGGAUCAACCAAUGGCAUUAGAAUUAAUCCAAGAAAACCAUCAAUGAUGCCAUUGAUAAGCAAAUACACCAUGUGAAAUUGAUAGGAAAUGCAUUUAUAGAUAGAAGAAAUAAUGUAUAAUCACACUUCUUGAUAUGUAAUCGUAGAAAAGCUGCACUUUAUCUAGUGUCAAACAAAAAUGUACCAACAAUCGUAAUUGAUUUUCUCACUAAACCUAAGUUUCUUGAGAAUAAGCCUUUAAAAAUGUUUAUCGUUUUCAGAACGUAUAUUUAUUAAAACUUAAAGUUAGGUGUCUGUAACUGUAACACAAAUAACGAACAAGGUUAUUUAGGAGGAUGUUGUACCUUUCUAGUAUGUUUGCAACUAAUGAUCUGUAUUAUAGAUUUUAAGGGGGUAUUCUGGUCUACAAAUUUGAAAAAAUCGAAAAAUUUUUUUUUCAUAUUUCCAAAGUUUAGACAUACAAGAAUAUGCCCUUAAAAGGAUUUUUCAAAAUUUCAAUUAUUUUAUGAGUUACAACCAUUUUUGUGAUGCGACAUCUGCUCCGGUCCGACCGGAACAAAUGAACAGUAGACAAUAGACGUUGUCCGAGUAAACUUAUCUCAAAACUUUAAACGCGUUUUUCUCGAAACUACUUUCUUCGAGUUAGCGUGCACGAUAUCUCAAGCUCUAAUGAUUUAUUUGAAAUUUGGUGUGAAUGUUCUUUAUAUAUUCCUCUAUCGCCUCAACCACGCUCAGAUCAAAAUUUUUAAUUUUACUAUUUUUAAAAAAUUCGGAAUUGCCAAAAAAACAUGCCAAAAAGGAAAAUUUUUUCAAACGGCCGCCAUUUUGUGAAAAAAUAUUGUUUUGACUUUUCCAAGGUUCAUGCCAUAGCCGCAUCUAUAUUAAUUAAGAAUCGGUUCGGCUUUAUUGCUUCAGAUGACCAAAAGGGUUGAAAUCAUGGACGCCAGAACACCCUUUUGUUUUUGGACCCCCACUUUGCCAGUUCAUAAUUUUGUGAAUUUUGAGUUUUUUUCAGUUAAUUUUUUAUGUAAUCUUAAAGUAUCAAUAAACAAAUGAUAAAAAAGUGGAUAGUAAAAAUA